rnacentral:rRNA from 1 species
GGUUGAUCCUGCCAGUAGUCAUAUGCUUGUCCCAAAGAUUAAGCCAUGCAUGUGCAAGUAUAAAUUGUUAUACGGUGAAACUGCGAAUGGCUCAUUAAAUCAGUUAUAAUUUAUUUGAUGGAUUUUUUACUAAUUGGAUAACCGUGGUAAUUCUAGAGCUAAUACAUGCAAGAGGCCUCCGCUUGGGGGCAGUAUUUAUUAGAUCAAAAACCUACUGGGGCGGCUCUGCCCUGCUGGUGAUUCAUGAUAACUUUGCGGAUCGCAUGGCUUUGGCUGGCGACGCGUCAUUCAAA